rnacentral:rRNA from 1 species
GAUGAACGCUAGCUACAGGCUUAACACAUGCAAGUCGAGGGGUAACGAGAGGAAAGCUUGCUUUCCUUGUCGACGACCGGCGCACGGGUGAGUAACGCGUAUCCAACCUGCCCCCAACUAGGGAAUAACCUUGCGAAAGUAAGACUAAUACCCUAUAAUUUCCUCAGAUGUCAUCUGACGAGGAAUAAAGAUUUAUCGGUUGUGGAUGGGGAUGCGUCUGAUUAGCUUGUUGGCGGGGUAACGGCCCACCAAGGCAACGAUCAGUAGGGGUUCUGAGAGGAAGGUCCCCCACAUUGGAACUGGGACACGGUCCAAACGCCUACGGGAGGCAGCAGUGAGGAAUAUUGGUCAAGGGGCGGAAGCCUGAACCAGCCAAGUAGCGUGCGGGAUGACGGCCCUAUGGGUUGUAAACUGCUUUUAUACAGGAAUAAAGUUAGCCACGUGUGGUUAUUUGUAGGUACUGUAUGAAUAAGGACCGGCUAAUUCCGUGCCAGCAGCCGCCGUAA